rnacentral:rRNA from 1 species
UACGUGAAACCGUUCGGGGGUAAACGUGAGAAAUCCGAGAAUGAUUCAACAGGAGAGAUUNCACGCCNCAUCCGCCCAGCGGUCCUCCCUCCGGCAAGAUGGGGCCGCCCUCCCGCGCGGAGCAAUCCGCGUCGGGGUCGUGCGCGGUUACAAUUUUUUCCCACUUAAGUUCGGAGUGGGUAGUGUCGCGGCGGUGGGCCGCACUUCUAUCCCUGUUGCACGUCGCGACCCGUUGGGUGUCGGUCUAAGGCCCGGUGUUGUGUUCAGUCCUUCCGUGCAGCAAUGUACGCUCGUUGGGCUUGACCCCUGGUGUUUCCCGGCCGACUGCUCGACGGUAAAAGUUGAAGGAGUCGAUUCGCCACUUCAAUGUGGGCGUCCGAUCCCUCGGCAAGCGUUUGCGGUUGAUAGUUGGAUGUCGGUGCCUUCCGGCCCGGCUCCGGCCCCGUUUCGCUGUUGGCUCGAGUGUGAUCUCGGACGGAAUCUGUCUCCAGUCAGCGGCGCUCAAGCCUUGGAUAAUUUCACGACCCGUCUUGAAACACGGACCAAGGAGUCUAACAUGUGCGUGAGUCAUUGGGAGUUACUAGACCUAAAGGCGCAAUGAAAGUAAAGGUCUCGCCUUGCGCGGACCGAGGGAAGAUGGGCGCGGUUUUCCGAUCGCUUGCCUCACAUUCCCGGGGCGUCUCUCGAUCUCACUGCGAGAUGAGGCGCACCCAGAACGUACACGUUGGGACCCGAAAGAUGGUGAACUAUGCCUGGCCAGGACGAAGUCAGGGGAAACCCUGAUGGAGGUCCGUAGCGAUUCUGACGUGCAAAUCGAUCGUCGGAGCUGGGUAUAGGGGCGAAAGACUAAUCGAACCAUC